UUUAUGGAGAGUUUGAUCCUGGCUCAGGAUGAACGCUGGCGGCGGAACUAAUACAUGCAAGUCGAGCGAACAGAUAAGGAGCUUGCUCCUUUGACGCGGCGGACGGGUGAGUAACACGUGGGUAACCUACCUAUAAGACUGGAAUAACUCCGGGAAACCGGGGCUAAUGCCGGAUAACAUGUUGAACCGCAUGGUUCUACAGUGAAAGACGGUCUUGCUGUCACUUAUAGAUGGACCCGCGCCGUAUUAGCUAGUUGGUGGGGUAACGGCCUACCAAGGCGACGAUACGUAGCCGACCUGAGAGGGUGAUCGGCCACACUGGAACUGAGACACGGUCCAGACUCCUACGGGAGGCAGCAGUAGGGAAUCUUCCGCAAUGGGCGAAAGCCUGACGGAGCAACGCCGCGUGAGUGAUGAAGGUCUUCGGAUCGUAAAGCUCUGUUGUUAGGGAAGAACAAAUGUGUAAGUAACUGUGCACAUCUUGACGGUACCUAACCAGAAAGCCACGGCUAACUACGUGCCAGCGCGGUAAUACGUAGGUGGCAAGCGUUAUCCGGAAUUAUUGGGCGUAAAGCGCGCGUAGGCGGUUUUUUAAGUCUGAUGUGAAAGCCCACGGCUCAACCGUGGAGGGUCAUUGGAAACUGGAAAACUUGAGUGCAGAAGAGGAAAGUGGAAUUCCAUGUGUAGCGGUGAAAUGCGCAGAGAUAUGGAGGAACACCAGUGGCGAAGGCGGCUUUCUGGUCUGCAACUGACGCUGAUGUGCGAAAGCGUGGGGAUCAAACAGGAUUAGAUACCCUGGUAGUCCACGCCGUAAACGAUGAGUGCUAAGUGUUAGGGGGUUUCCGCCCCUUAGUGCUGCAGCUAACGCAUUAAGCACUCCGCCUGGGGAGUACGGUCGCAAGACUGAAACUCAAAGGAAUUGACGGGGACCCGCACAAGCGGUGGAGCAUGUGGUUUAAUUCGAAGCAACGCGAAGAACCUUACCAAAUCUUGACAUCCUUUGACCGCUCUAGAGAUAGAGUUUUCCUCUUCGGAGGACAAAGUGACAGGUGGUGCAUGGUUGUCGUCAGCUCGUGUCGUGAGAUGUUGGGUUAAGUCCCGCAACGAGCGCAACCCUUGAACUUAGUUGCCAUCAUUCAGUUGGGCACUCUAAGUUGACUGCCGGUGACAAACCGGAGGAAGGUGGGGAUGACGUCAAAUCAUCAUGCCCUUAUGAUUUGGGCUACACACGUGCUACAAUGGACAAUACAAAGGGCAGCGAAACCGCGAGGUCAAGCAAAUCCCAUAAAGUUGUUCUCAGUUCGGAUUGUAGUCUGCAACUCGACUACAUGAAGCUGGAAUCGCUAGUAAUCGUAGAUCAGCAUGCUACGGUGAAUACGUUCCCGGGUCUUGUACACACCGCCCGUCACACCACGAGAGUUUGUAACACCCGAAGCCGGUGGAGUAACCAUUUUGGAGCUAGCCGUCGAAGGUGGGACAAAUGAUUGGGGUGAAGUCGUAACAAGGUAGCCGUAUCGGAAGGUGCUGGAUCACCUCCUUUCU
rnacentral:rRNA from 1 species